UGCCCCCAUCCAUCCUCAACUUAGGAAAGUCACUCGGCGGAAGAGCGCAUGCGCGAAGUCCAUUUCUGCCCUGCCGUCGUCGAGGAAGGACCUGUUCAUCGCGGCUCCGGCGUAGAGGUCUCCAUCGGCUGGGUAGGCCUCGACUUCGGUCUUGGGGGUCCAGGUGCGCUCCGGAUGGUGGCGGUCAGCAGCGGCUUCAUCAGGGUGACGAUCCUGGCGGUGCUGGGGUCUCGGCGACGAAAGAUCAUCUCAACAACACUUGCAACAUCUGGAUCUGAAGAGCGAGGAGGAGCGUGCCCACCUUUUAUGCCAGAAGGCGGAGACUUAGGUAAGGAGGGGUUAGUGGGAGGAGCUGGACAGGUGGGAGUUUGGAUUAACCCCUGCACUGCUGCACUAUAGCUGACCCCUGGCACAGUUAAGGCAU